rnacentral:rRNA from 1 species
UGGGCUGGAUCACCUCCACACGAUCUGCCCUUAUCUUGGGGAUAGCCCAUAGAAAUGUGGAUUAAUACCCAAUAGUAUAUUUGAAUGGCAUCAUUUAAAUAUUAAAGAACUUCGGAUAGGGAUGAGUGUGCGUAAGAUUAGCUAGUUGGUGAGGUAACGGCUCACCAAGGCAACGAUCUUUAGCUGAUGUGAGAGCAUGAUCAGCCACACGGGCACUGAGACACGGGCCCGACUCCUACGGGAGGCAGCAGUGAGGAAUAUUGGUCAAUGGACGGAAGUCUGAACCAGCCAUGCCGCGUGAAGGAUGAAGGCGUUCUGCGUUGUAAACUUCUUUUAUCAGGGAAGAAACCACUUUAAUCUUAGAGUGUUGACGGUACCUGAGGAAUAAGCACCGGCUAACUCCGUGCCAGCAGCCGCGGUAAUACGGAGGGUGCAAGCGUUAUCCGGAUUUACUGGGUUUAAAGGGUGUGUAGGCGGGCUUUUAAGUCUGGGGUGAAAUCUCCGAGCUCAACUCGGAAACUGCCUUGGAUACUAUUAGUCUUGAAUUAUGUUGAGGUUGGCGGAAUAUAACAUGUAGCGGU